rnacentral:ncRNA from 1 species
AAGCCAGUUCCGAACUGUCACCGUUACGGUGUGCGUGCCUAGGACAUCUAGGAUAGGAGCUGGCUUCGAC